UAAUACUAUUAUGUGUUUGAUUGCAAUACUUGAAUUAUAUGUUUUCCGACAUACUGUAGCGAGCGUUGCUAUAGUUAAAAUGUUGGUGUCAGUUUAUCAUCGCAUUGAUCCAACAAAUACUCGGUACACCAAAACCGACUCGGUACUUGUUACAUCGUAAUAUAUUUGCAUUUAGUUAAGCUAUCGUAAAUACAAUAUAGUAUUAAAGCAAAUUUCGUGUUACGUUAAACGAUGAGUAAAUUCCAGGAAAAUAUUAAACACUUGAUCCCGAAACCGAAAACACCUGUCCUAAAACCACCGAUGUACCGCUCGAUUUACACGGAGUCUGUAAGGAGGACGUACAACUCAAACAAUAACUGUCACAAAACUAUGGGCUAUGCUGAAGUCGAACUCGAUCCACCGUCACAGUUUCUUAAGAAACACACCAGAAAAGAGAUGAGACCAUUUGUUGAAAUAAAUAAAACUAAAUGCUGUGCUAGAAAAUCGAUUCAGCGACCGUGCGACGGCGCAGCAAUAAAUACUUCUAAAAAAUUACCAACAAAAACGCGGAAAAACAUUAGACAAACAAAUAUCAUAGACGUAAUAAAGAGGGUGCCACCGUUGCCGAAGCAUCGUGUCCAAGAUACUAGGAACGGACACAUAAUUGUUUUGAACGAAGCCGGUUUGGAGCCAACAUAUGUGUCUAAAAAGAACUAUGGAAAAAUACCGUCAUACAUCGUUAAAAUGUACAAGGAAAAAGAAAUGGCCCAGCUAAUGGAGACUGAGCGAAAGCUAGCUGUAAAACCGUCAUUGCGCUAUUUGCCCGAAGCUGAACGUAGCGAAUUAUUGAACGGACUGAAGACUAAUUGGGCUGAACUUCAUAAGGAGUUUUUGCUGUUGCCAAUGCUCACUGACACAGUACCAAAAAUGAAAAGGAAAACCAUGUUGGAAAAGCAACUUAAUAAUUUGGAAAAAGAUAUCGACCUGUUGGAGAGAAACCCUUCUAUUUAUGUAUGUCAAGAUGUAUAGGUGUUUGAAAACUUUCAGAAUAUUCUGCGAGUCUAACAAGAAACACCACAAUUAAAUAUUAUUUUUCAUUCUUAAAACAUCAUCAUAAUAAUUAUGCAAAGAUUUAUCAGAAGACGUGUUGGGUAGUUCAUGUCGAAUAAAUUUGUUUAUUAAUGCUUGGAUAAUGGAUAAUGCUUCUAUUGUGUAGUCCCCAGAUACGGCUUAAAAUAAAUUAUAAAUUUUGUAUAUACCUAAUCGUUAUCUUGGAUUUAUUUUUCGAUAUUUGUAAAUAAACCACUACAGUGGAUUCCGCUUAAUGUGGCCACCGAUUAAUAUGGGCAUCCGCUUAUUGUGGGCAAAUAUGUCUGGUCCCAAUACAAAUGUAUAUUAACAAUGUCAAAUAAAACCGCGUAAUAUGGACACUCGAUUCGGUUUAUGUGGGCAAUUUUUUUUAUCAUAGCGUUAGAAUAUACACAUAUAAGUAUUUAAAAACGAUUAAUUUAAUCGGGUUCCGUCGUAUCUAUGAGAUUGUGUUUAUCGAAAGUAAUAAAAAUCAUUACCAUUCAGAUAAAUAAAUUUCGCCAAAGAGAGGCGAAAAAGUGCAUUGAUUUCUUGCAGAAGUUCUUCAUGCAAGAGGGAAACGAAAAUAGUCCGUCUGAUAAACUUGAAGCGUAUGCCUAUUUUGUCAACCAGAUCCAUAUUAAACAGCUUAGACAACGAAAAAUUACAACGUUUUGUAUACCUUCUACAU